UAGACCCAUGGCAACCAAUGUUGGUGUGUGAGUCAUGGAUGGUGAUUACAGAUCUAAAAGUCUGAGCUUAAA